rnacentral:rRNA from 1 species
CGUGAGCAAUCUGCCCUUGACUCUGGGAUAAGCGCUGGAAACGGCGUCUAAUACCGGAUACGACCCUCGGAGGCAUCUCCUGUGGGUGGAAAGAACUUCGGUCAAGGAUGAGCUCGCGGCCUAUCAGCUUGUUGGUGAGGUAAUGGCUCACCAAGGCGACGACGGGUAGCCGGCCUGAGAGGGUGACCGGCCACACUGGGACUGAGACACGGCCCAGACUCCUACGGGAGGCAGCAGUGGGGAAUAUUGCACAAUGGGCGCAAGCCUGAUGCAGCAACGCCGCGUGAGGGACGACGGCCUUCGGGUUGUAAACCUCUUUUAGCAGGGAAGAAGCGAGAGUGACGGUACCUGCAGAAAAAGCACCGGCUAACUACGUGCCAGCAGCCGCGGUAAUACGUAGGGUGCAAGCGUUGUCCGGAAUUAUUGGGCGUAAAGAGCUCGUAGGCGGUCUGUCGCGUCUGCUGUGAAAACCCGAGGCUCAACC